GUCGUGUCGUACAAGCGUUGUACAAAAUGAUUGGGCGUAAAGGGUUCGUAGAUUGGGGAAAAAGUAUAAAAAGAAAUUUAGGGAAAAAUCUCUACAGUUUUUUAUAAACUCUUCUUCUUGAGGUCAAAAGGGGAAUCUGGAAUUACUAGUGGAGGGAUAAAAUCUGUUGAUAUUAGUAGGAACACCAAUGGCGAAGGCAAGAUUCUGGUUUGAUACUGACAUUGAGGAACGAAAGCACGGGGAGCAAGAAGGAUUAGAUACCCGAGUAGU
rnacentral:rRNA from 1 species